UACGGAGGGUGCAAGCGUUAUCCGGAUUCACUGGGUUUAAAGGGUGCGUAGGUGGGUUGGUAAGUCAGUGGUGAAAUCUCCAGGCUUAACUUGGAAACUGCCAUUGAUACUAUCAAUCUCGAAUACCGUGGAGGUCAGCGGAAUAUGUCAUGUAGCGGUGAAAUGCUUAGAUAUGACAUAGAACACCAAUUGCGAAGGCAGCUUACUACACGAUCAUUGACACUGAGGCACGAAAGCGUGGGGAGCAAACAGG
rnacentral:rRNA from 1 species